UACAGAGGGUGCUAGCGUUGUUCGGAAUCAUUGGGCGUAAAGGGCGUGUAGGCGGUUUGUUAAGUCAUGUGUGAAAGCCCCCGGCUCAACCGGGGAACGACGCAUGAAACUGGCAAGCUAGAGUACCGAAGAGGGGGGUGGAAUUCCCGGUGUAGCGGUGAAAUGCGUAGAUAUCUGGAGGAAUACCGGUGGCGAAGGCGGCAUCCUGGACCGGCAUUGACGCUGAGGAGCGAAAGCCAGGGGAGCAAACGGG
rnacentral:rRNA from 1 species